rnacentral:lncRNA from 1 species
AACAUCCGUAGGACAUAAUAUAUCCAAGAGAAACCUCGUCUGGGUGUGGUUCUUCACGAACGACUUAACGUAGCAACAUGCCACGCAAGCCUCAUGAACAUCCACUCUAAAAUCUGUGUGUACACUCAAGCCUGGGUAAUGGGCUUACCUCUCAUAGAACACCCCACCCCAACAAACAGAUAAACGGCAGCAGAUACAUCAAACAUAUGUACAUGAAUGCAAUAAGGUAAAGCAGGUAAAUGCUGAAAAUAAAUAACUGUACAAAAGAAUAAACACCCAAUAAACAAGAAACCUACAAAAGCUAGG